GACGAACGCUGGCGGCGUGCUUAACACAUGCAAGUCGAACGGAAAGGCCCUGCUUGCAGGGUACUCGAGUGGCGAACGGGUGAGUAACACGUGGGUGAUCUGCCCUGCACUUCGGGAUAAGCUUGGGAAACUGGGUCUAAUACCGGAUAGGACCGCACUUUAGUGUGUGUGGUGGAAAGUUUUUUCGGUGUAGGAUGAGCUCGCGGCCUAUCAGCUUGUUGGUGGGGUAAUGGCCUACCAAGGCGGCGACGGGUAGCCGGCCUGAGAGGGUGUACGGCCACAUUGGAACUGAGAUACGGCCCAGACUCCUACGGGAGGCAGCAGUGGGGAAUAUUGCACAAUGGGCGCAAGCCUGAUGCAGCGACGCCGCGUGGGGGAUGAAGGCCUUCGGGUUGUAAACUCCUUUCGCUAGGGACGAAGCUUUGUUGUGACGGUACCUAGAUAAGAAGCACCGGCUAACUACGUG
rnacentral:rRNA from 1 species